UGGGGAAUUUUGGACAAUGGGGGAAACCCUGAUCCAGCCAUCCCGCGUGUGCGAUGAAGGCCUUCGGGUUGUAAAGCACUUUUGGCAGGAAAGAAACGUCAUGGGUUAAUACCCCGUGAAACUGACGGUACCUGCAGAAUAAGCACCGGCUAACUACGUGCCAGCAGCCGCGGUAAUACGGAGGGUGCAAGCGUUAAUCGGAAUUACUGGGCGUAAAGCGUGCGCAGGCGGUUCGGAAAGAAAGAUGUGAAAUCCCAGAGCUCAACUUUGGAACUGCAUUUUUAACUACCGAGCUAGAGUGUGUCAGAGGGAGGUGGAAUUCCGCGUGUAGCAGUGAAAUGCGUAGAUAUGCGGAGGAAAACCGAUGGCGAAGGCAGCCUCCUGGGAUAACACUGACGCUCAUGCACGAAAGCGUGGGGAGCAAACAGG
rnacentral:rRNA from 1 species